GUGUUAAAGAAAAUUCUGGGUUGAGAGACUACUCAGCAGCCCAACUCGCCGGGGUACAAGUCCCCUGCGGGUCCAUGAGAUCAGUAAAAGAAGGAAAUUCAAGCCAAGUAAUUUGGAGCAAAACAGCAGUAGACUUAGAUUCUUCAUUGUUGCGCAACAGGUUCCAACAGCAGUAAGAAUCCAGAUAAUGGGGUGAUGUUGACUUUUAAAACUUCCCUCUUUCCCCCAGAAUACACUUAGAGCAGCAUCAUUGAUACAUCAUCUUUACAUCACUGACAUGUCACAAAAGGGGAGGGGUAGACAGGGGUUACACUGGUUUAACCUUGGCAAACAUGUCCAGAUAAGUCCUUGGUACAAGAUCAGCACAGGUAAAACAUGUCCAGGCGACAACCAAGUACCCACAAUUAAAGGACAGUAGAGCUCCCUUUGCACAUCCAUAGCCUGGGGCAAGUCAGGUGAUGGGCUUUUGGAAGCUAAGUGCUCAGCAAUCGAAACAAAAUUUAAAAAAAAUUCAUUCCAGUAGCACCUUAGAGACCAACUAAGUUUGUUAUAGGGAUGCGGGUGGCGUUGUGAGUUAAACUACAGAGCCUAGGACUCACCAAUCAGAACGUUGGCGGUUCGAAUCCCCGUGAUGGGGUGAGCUCCCGUUGCUCGGCCCCUACUCCUGCCAACCUAGCAGUUUGAAAGCAUGCGAGUAGAUAAAUAGGUACCGCUCCGGCGGGAAAGUAAAUGGCAUUUCCGUGUGCUGCUCUGGUUCACCAGAAGUGGCUUAGUCAUGCUGGCCACAUGACCCGGAAGCUGUACACCGGCUCCCUCGGCCAAUAAAGCGAGAUGAGCGCCGCAACCCCAGAGUCGGCCAUGACUGGACCUAAUGGUCAGGGGUCCCUUUACCUUUACCUUUAAGUUUGUUAUUGGUAUGAGCUUUCGUGUGCAUGCACACGUCUUCAGAUAUCUCAGCAAUUCUCACCCCUGGGCACUUCCCUGGGUGGGUGGGUGUACAUGUCCUCAAGGGAGGUAGCAGGGAAGAGUCCUUUUUCCAAGGGCAAAAUGGAGUUGGAAUGUGUUUAAAUUGGCAAGGUACAGUAUAUGAUUUAUAAAGCUAGGUAUCUUCCCUGAGCAGUCAGGUCGAAAGGAUACAUUCUGGCAUAAUAUUUGGAACAUUCAACCACCCCAUAGACGUCCCCCCCCCCCCGUAAUUUCCAUAACAGCUGGGAUCUCCAAGGAUCCUCUAGUCCAACCCCCUGCGAUGCAGGAAUCUCAACUAAAUUAUUAUUAUUAUUAUUAUUAUUAUUAUUAUUAUUAUUAUUAUUAUUUAUUUGUACCCUGCCCAUCUGGCUGGAUUUCCCCAGCCACUCUGGGUGGCUUCCAACAAAGAUUAAAAAUACAUUAAAAUGUCACACAUUAAAAACUUCCCUAAACAGGGCUGCCUUCAGAUGUCUUCUAAAAGUCUGGUAGUUGUUCUUCUCUUUGACAUCUGGUGGGAGGGUGUUCCACAGGGCGGGUGCCACUACCGAGAAGGCCCUCUGCCUGGUUCCCUGUAGCUUUGCUUCUCGCAGUGAGGGAACCACCAGAAGGACUUCGGCACUGGACCUCAGUGUCCGGGCAGAACAAUGGGGGUGGAGAUGCUCCUUCAGGUAUCCAUGGCAGAUGGCCAUCUCCAACUCUGCUUAAAAACCUCCAAGGAAGGAGAGUCCACCACCUCCUGAGGGAGACUGUCCAACAGCUCUUCCUGUCAGAAAGUUCUUCCUAAUGUUUAGCCUGAAUCUCCUUUCUUGUAACGAGGUUAUUGGUUCGAGUCCUGCCCUCCAGAGCAGGAGAAAACAGGCUCGCUCCAUCUUCCUUGUGGCAGCCUUCCAGAUAUUUGAAGAUGGCUAUCAUCUCUCAGUCUCCUUAUUCAGAUAAAAGUCCAGAGAAUCUUGUGAAACUCCUUUGUUAUUGGAGACUAUCCCAUGCAGACAAAGUCUCUGCACAUCAUGCAUUUAAAGCACAUUUAAAGCAUGUGCAAAGCACAUUGCUCUCCCCAAAAAAAGAAUCCUUCACCGAGCUCCAAUUCCCAGCACCCAUUACAAACGACAAUUCCCAUGAUUAUCGGGGAAGACAAGUGCUUUAAAUAUAUGGCUUGCACACUGCCAUAAGCGCAAGCUUUCUUCUGGCACUGAGCAACAUGGUGCAAUAUCAUAUGGCAUGUGUCAGUGCUGGAUUGGUGCUCCAGAGCUUUCUGCCUAUAUACAUAAAAAUGUAAUGCUGUCAUCACGCUGCCCCAAUUGGAGGAUCUGUUGCGUCACAUCACAAUGCUGGAUUUGCAUAAAGCCAGAGCACAGCCUCCCAUUGGAGGGUUUGCAGUGCCUCAUCAAGGGGGAGGGGGAAUGGGAGGAGAGUUGGCAAGUAAAUUGAAAAAUACAGGAGAGCCAUUCUUGCAGUGAAGGACUAUCUAGUGGGGUUUUAUUUCCUUUCAAAGGCCUACGUAACAACCCAAGAGGGAAACGGAAAUAAUGGCAGCCAAGUAGUAUCUCAAAGGCUGCAACACUCAGAAUCGAUCCUUGAAUAAUUGUUCCCAAAAGAAAAAGGAAGAAUACUUGAGACUCAAGAGGAGUGGAGAUCAGGAAAGUGAAAAGGAUAAAGGUCAGGAGGACAUCAGGAGCAGAAAAAGAGCAACAUCUCCAAGGCAGCGUCAGAGUUAAGCAGAACUCGCCCCCCUGAAAUCAGAUUUAAGCAAAACAUUGCAUUUGCAAGUGGUGGUCCUCCAGUAUAAUUGGAAAAAUCAGGGGGAUUGCUGCAGUAUACAAGCCACACGUGUGAUAUCAGUUCCUUUAAUGUUGUGGUUUUCAAAGGGCGUUGCAAGAACCCCUGAGGUCCCUUAGAACAGGCUUCCUCAACCUCAGCCCUCCAGAUGUUUUGGCCUACAACUCCCAUGAUCCCUAGCUAGCAGGACCAGUGGCCAGGGAUGAUGGGAAUUGUAGUCUCAAAACAUCUGGAGGGCCGAGGUUGAGGAAGCCUGCCUUAGAAGAUUACCCAGAGUUCCCCAACAAGCAGGAAAGAGAAGCAAACUUUACCCAAAGACAGCUUUCCCCAACGCCUUUGGUUUAUUUCAUGUAAGGAAUAUGUGUGCCGCUCUUUGUUCAAUAACCCCAGGACGAC